rnacentral:lncRNA from 1 species
UUUAGAACUUAUGGGAUUUGAGCACUUGGAAAGAUGCACAUUUGUCGUCUGGAAACAUCACCUUUUAUGUACCUUUAUCAUAAAUCUUUCUUUAUAUAACUUAUUUAAUCUUUUGGGAAGUUAUACCUUUUAUCCUUGGCUUUUGCAUGUAGUAGUUGCGUCUUCAAUGACUUUUACUUGGGUUCCAAAUUCCUGUGGAUUGGUAAACUAUUGCAUGAUAAUUUCAUGAGUUUGCCCCAAAAUCUGGAACCAACAUAAAGGGCUGAAAUUAUGUUCCAUAAUGCAACUUCAAUGGUGGUGGUUAGGGGUAUAAAUAGGGGCUUCUAUUAUUGCCCUAAUCAUUCCAAUUGUCUGAUUUUCUUUUGAGAGACUAGGAUUUUCUUCCUAUCUUCAGUUCGUCUUGUCCCCUUCGAGUUCAACCGUCGAUUGGAAGUUUUGCUCAGUAUUCUAAGUGAAUCCUUGUGAGAAGAUUGUUCGAGAUCUGGGUUGAGAUCUUUUGAUCCAUAGAAGCAACUUCAACGUUAAAGGAUCUGGGUUUGUGGCUACUAGGAUACAAAAUGGUACAAUAUAAUCUGAGCCCAUUUUGAGAUAUCUUGAUAUCUUUCGUGUUCUGGUUCUAGUUGUAAACUUCUCUGAAGGGUUUGUAUGAUUUGAAUCUUUGAAGAGUAAUAUUUGUAUAAUAGUCGUAUCAGAGAUUAAACUAUCUAUUUUUCGAUUUUCGAUGGUCGAUUGACCGUAAAAAAUCAAUUUUCAUAGUUGAUUUUGGUUUCAAUCAUUUAAGAUCUCAAAGUUUUUUCCAAAACCCUAGAUCUAUUUUUGAAAGAUCUAGUCACCGGAAGGUUUAUUGAACUUUCAAUUGAAUAUUUGACACAAGAAAAACUUUUUACACAGUUCGAACUAUUUAGAUCUAGUAUUUUUAUAACCUUAGAUCCAAACACAAUGAAUGAUCCUGCCUUUAGUGGCUGUUCUUGGUUACAAAAUUAUUUUCUAACUUAAAUAUUUGGUGUUUCUUGUAAGAUUUGGGUUGAAACCCUUGAUCUAGAAAACUUGCAAACAAUUUGAAACUACUGAACAUUGUGUUGACUUCUUGACCUCUUUUCAUGCCUGUGGUGCUUAUGGUGAUCAAACCUCCAAAGCAACAUCUUGGUUUGCAAUUUUUAAACCCUUACUAUGUUCUGUGACUACAUUUUUCACCAUCUUUUCCCUUAACUUUGAAAUGUUGCAUAUCAUUGACUUUGCGUCACUUCUGCAUGCGCACUAAGCUCCGUUGUUAAAUCUGAUGUCCUCUAAUCUUGUUAUUACUGAAGUGUUUUAAAUUUUGCCUUGAAAUUGGAACUUGAUUCACGAAUCCUAGUGAAUUUGGACAUAUUGUGAUCCCAGUUAAAACUGAAAUUUACAGUACUGCUUUAUCAUUGACAUUACUAUAUGUCCUGAAUUGAUUAGUUAAGGAAAUUAACAUUGUGCAUACUGUAUAUUUCUUUUGCUGAUUUUUUUUUGAGUGAAUGAUGCAUCUCGUUCCAAAUCAUUUUGGUGGACCCGAAAUAUAACGUGCAUCGAUAAUAGAUGUUGACUAAAUGUCAGAUCAAUCACUAAGGCUGACUAUUGAGUUGCUAAGCACCAAAUAAGAUGCUUAUGAAAAAAAUAUAUGCAAUGGGCCCAAUAUAAUUACUAAGUGCUUUAUCAAAAUGAAUCAUAUAACACAAUAUGUUGUGUGGUUAUUACUUUAAAACCAUUAGGCUCCUCUAACUAUAAAGAACCAAUUGCUACUUGUAGUAAAAAUUAUAAGAAAAUAUAUGAGUUGAUAACUCAGUGAAUGGAGAAAGUUUGAAAACAAUUAUACUUUCACAUUUAUACAUUUUAUCGAAAAUCAAGUUGACAUCAUUUAACAUUUCACAUUAUAAUAACAUAUUAGAAUAAUCAAGACGUGAGACACUUGUAACACUGAAAAAUAUUAUUUCAUAGUCAUGAUAUAAUCAUCAACUCAAAUCCAUAUCAUCAUCUCAUUACAUCACAUGUAAUCUACCGAAUAUGUACCCUCUGACUAAAAUUUGUAAUUUGUCCCUCGAGUUAAACACUUUUGCCACGAGUUUUUGGCCCCUUCCGUGAAUAAAAGCUGGUCUUCAAAACCUCUAAUAAUCGGUUUUAGAACGCGAUCAAAGUCACUCAGUGAACUAUAUGUACAUAGUCAAGACCAAUGCUCGGUUAAGACCCCUCCGUGUAGGAUAGAAAAUGGCUAAGGACUCUCUGUUAACUAUAAGAAAUAUAUGUUCACGAGUACAUUUCUGGUCGAUCUUAGUAUCACAUGUCACAUUCCAAUUUACAAGUAAUUCAUAUACAAUCUAUCUUAUUCAUAUAUAUCUUAACGAAAGAACCUUUCAUAGUAAUCAUGUAUUUGUACAAGAAAUUCAUGUAAUUGUACAUAAUGUAAUAAUAUAAUUAAUUUAUCAAUAUAUGAAAAUAUUUGAGUUUUUUCGCUCACCAAAUUGUAGACCCAUUGCAACUACAAUCUUCUCGUCACCUUCUCACAUUCAAAUAUCAAAUAUGACAUCUCGCACUAGCUCUAAGAAAUCAGAUUUCUUUACAAAGGUUCCUUGAACGUUUAUCCUACCAUUAGUAAUAAGGAUUUACCAAUUGGAACUUGAUGUUUUCUAUUUUCAAUGUCAUAAAUUAGAGUCACUAAUCACAGAUACUCCUAUAUAUAAGUUAUUUUAACACCUAAUCCUAAUAUUUACAUUUAAUUUGAGGAAACUCACAGGAUGGACAAAACUAGCACUCUAUUUCCAGAAUAUUAAAAUAUGACACGGAUGUUUAUUUAUUGAAAACUGUCUCCAAACCCCUUUGACAAAAAUAACACUUUCUAGAUAGAAUUUCAAAAAAGCUCCUGUGCAUGAAUUUUGCACGAAAAUUGAUUAAAAAUACCAAAAUCCACUGUAAUACAUCAUAAUCAAGUGUUUGGUAUCAUGUACACACAAUAGAUUUAGAAUUUGAGACUAAUUUACAAACCCAUUUCAUGUCUCUUGUAUACGUCAAUAUAAACCUUUCAUAUUCAUAUUUCUUUGCAAUAGUAUUCUUAAAUUACUGAAAUACACCUUAAUAAUUUUAAUUCUUGCCAAACUUUGAAAAUAAACAAAUUUUCACAAACCCUAAUAUAUAUUUAACAUUCUUAUACUUACCUCUAUAAAUUAAAAAGAACCCACCUAAAAUAAGUGUUUACCCAUCAUUUCCAAUCUCCAAAUCGGCCUCUGAUUUCUUCUUUCUUUCUCUCUUUCCUUUUCUUCUCCCGUUUUUCCCUUUCUCGAUUUAUAUCUUACAUUCUAGUUUCUUCCUUUGUAAAAUGAAUCGCUUUCCUUUAUUUUAGUAAAUUAAUAUAGUGUAAUUUCAAGUCAAUAUUCCUUGCUUCUUACAAUAUUACUUUUUAGUCAUCUCAUUUACCGUAUUAGAAAUUAAAUCCUUAAAUUCCUUUUUUAUAUAAUUUCUAGCCCUUUAAGUAUUAGCAAUUACAAGUUAGACUCAAUGAAAAUCAUUUGUUCAGUUUAAGUCGUUAUUUGACUUUGAUUGUAAGUGAAUGGGGGUAUAAAAGUGAACUUACUUGAGCCUCAUACUCUGCCAUUUAAACCAGUUAAUAUUUUGUGUCAAUUUUAAUUUUUUUUUUCAAGUGUGUUUGUCAUUUUUACAAAAAAUUUAUAUUUUUUUCAGAAUGAUGACAACAAGUUUUGACCUUGGGGUUUUUGAUGGGAAAGAAGAUCUUCAUAUUUAGCAACAAAAAUUGAAGGAGGUCUUGUUAAACAAAACGUUUCAAAAGACAAUGAGGAAGAUUAUUUUAAUUCUAUGAUCGCUGAGCAAAAAUUUGAAGCUGGUGAGAUUGCUUAUAGGUCUAUUAUUUGUCAUUUGUGUAAUCAAGUUUUGAAAAAGUAGGAAAAUUAGAUUCUACUGAACUCUUGAGAAAAAAGUUAGAAGACUAACUUUACUUGGUCAAAUCUUUGCCAAAUAAAUAUUUUUUUCUCUUGGAAAGGGUUUUUAGCUUUAAAUUGAUUCUUCAAAAGACUUAGAUGAAAAUUAGAUACCUUUAAUAAAUUGGUACAAUAUAUAGUGAACACUAAGGAAAAAGUAUCUAAGGAGUAUAAGGCUAUUAUACUCCUCAAUGCCCCGAAGCCUAUAGGAAUGUAAACGUUCCCAUUAAGUAUUGUAGGGAUAAUCACACUCCUAAAAUUGUCAUUUAACUCUUUUAGGAGUAAAUAGAUGGAAUUAAAAUUUGAAAAGCUUGAAAAUAGUAACUUUGAAAGUUUAUUUGUCGGAGGAAGAACAUAAAAUAGGAAUGAAGAAGAUCAUAGUACUCAGGGAAAAAAUCACAAGAAAAAGAAUAGAAGAGGACUGGAAUAAAGUCUAGGGUUAAGAAUAAAAUAUUUUAUAAGUUUGAGAAAAUUGGUCAUUACAUAAAAGGCAGUUACAAAAAAAAAAAAAAAAAGGGGAACAGAGAGAAUAAUUAGUUGAUGAAUGAAAUGUAGUUGAAUCCCUUGAAACUAAUACUAUUGAAGUCUAUGUUAUUACUAAAUUAGUAUCUAAUCUGUACUUGCUACCAUUUUUGGAAAUUGUGAUGAGAUCUAAGAAUGGAUCUAGGAUUCCGACUGCACUUUCGACAUGACCUCUAAGAGGAGUUGGUUAGUAAACUUUAAGAAAAUUAAUGGCGUGAAGUGGUUAUGGGGAAUUAAAAGAGAAAUUGAAGAACCCUACUAAAAUACAUGUUUACCCAUCAUUUCCCAUCUCCAAAUCGGCCUCUGAUUUCUUCUUCUACUUCUUCUUCUUUCUUUCUUUGUUUUUCUUCUCUUGUUUUUCCCUUUCUCAAUUUAUAUCUCUCAUUCUAGUUUCUUCCUUUGUAAAAUGAAUCACUUUCCUUUAUUUUAGUAAAUUAAUAUAGUGUAAUUUCAAGUCAAUAUUCCUUGCUUCUUACAAUAUAACUUUUUAGUCAUCUCAUUUACCGUAUUAGAAAUUAAAUCCUUAAAUUCCUUUUUAUAUAAUUUCUAGCCCUUUAAGUAUUAGCAAUUACAAGUUAGACCCAAUAAAAAUCAUUUAUUUAGCUUAAGUCCUAUUUGACUUUGACUAUAAUUGAAUGGGGUAUAACACUAAACUUACUUGAGCCUCAUAAUUUGCCAUUUAAACCAAUUAAUAUUUGGUGUUGAAUUUUUUUUUUUUUUGAAAGUGUGUUUGUUAUUUUACAAAAAACUAACUUUGUGUUUGAUAUUUUUUUCAGAAUGAUGACAACAACUUUUGAACGUGGGGUUUUUGAUGGGAAAGGAGAUUUUCAUAUUUAGCAACAAAAAUUGAAGGAGGUCUUGUUCAACAAAAAGUUUCAAAAGCCAUUGAAGAAGAUUAUUCUAAUUCCACGAUUGUUGAGCAAAAAUUUGAAGCUAGCGAGCUUGCUUAUAUGUCUAUUAUUCUUCAUUCGUAUAAUCAAGUUUUGAAAAAGUAGGAAAAUUAGAUUCUACCGAACUCUUGUGAAAAAAGUUAGAAGACUAACUUUACUUCGUCAAAUCUUUGCCAAAUAAAUUUUUUUCUCUUG